GACAAGGCCAUCAGAGGGCAUGACUAUUAUCAAGACAGGGAGAUUGUUUCAUCAGUAUAUUGUAGACGUUUACACCGCAACUGAGCAGGAGAGGUUGAAGUUCAUCAGACUUAACCAGAAACAGCUAAGAGCUGAGUUAUAUACAAACGUUUGUGAUGCAUUGGAGAGUGGAGACACAGACGCUAGAAAAGUUGGCAGAAAAGUCAUCUUACCUUCUUCUUUCACCGGAAGCCCUCGAUAUAUGUCUGAGAAAUAUCAGGAUGCCAUGGCCAUUUGUCGUUGGUAUGGUAAUCCUAAUGCGUUCAUCACAUUCACGGCAAACCCAAAUUGGGUUGAAGUGAAAAACCACUUGGAAGUCUACGGAGGUUGGAGGUAUUCAAUCAAGUUGGAGGAGAUGAUGUCAGACUUCAAGAAAGGCGUCUUUUUCCCCAAACUAGCCGCAGGUUUGAAACUAAAACCUUAGUGUAGUCAAUAAAUUUACGUGUACUAAAAAAAAAUUCCCAUGUUAUCUUAUAAAAAUAACAACUUUUAAUAAAAAAAACAUACUAUAUACUUUUAAAAAUCGGAGUUUAUAAGCAACAAUAUUUGGUAGUAAUAUAUAAGAAGUUAACAUAUGAGAAGGUGUCAGAAUUAUACUAUACUCAGAUUGCUUUUUUGUAAAAAAAUUUCAACCAUAAUAGUUAAUUAAUAUAUUUAGACCACCUCCAUCGGUAGGUUGAGGAGGAGGUUCUAAAAUAAUAAAGAGAAAAAAUUAAAUCAAAAAUAGUGUUAUUAGGCAGAACCUGUCCUUAAUUAGAUGAGUUUGAGAUUGGUAAAAACCCCAGACGUGGCAGAAGGGCAUUGGUUACUUCAUUUUAGACGAAAGGGAAAAAAGUCGUGUAUUUCUCUUUCUCUUUCGUAGUCGGUUGGUCUUUGGUCGGAGUUAAGAAAGCGUCGAGCUUUGGUCGGAGUAAAGGCGGCGACUUUGUUAAUGGAUGAGGAGAAGCAUGAGACAGUAACCGAGAAGAAGAAACCGAGAGUUCUAGUGGCCGGAGGCGGAAUCGGAGGUCUGGUGUUGCUGAAGAAGUUAUGGAAGCUGGAUGUAUCACCGGUGAUCGGAUUAACGGCCUCGUCGAUGGUGUCUGUGGUACUUGGUGGUGUUCAGGAAGCAGAGGGAGCGGCGAUGCUUUACUCUGGCAAUCGGAAUUGAGACUACAUGCCGGCGGAGAGUAUUCGAUCGCGGUGCUGCAAGUCUCCUCCGCUACUUACGUCGGAGUGUACGACGGCCAUGGCGGACCCGAAGCUUCUAACGUUGAGACCACACGCCGGCGGAGAGUAUUCGAUCGCGGUGCUGCAACGUUAUCUACUGAUCAUAACGUUGCUGUUGAAGAAGUGAGAAAGGAGGUUAAGGUUAUCUUCGAUGCUUACCUCAAACGAAGGAGAGAGGGAGCAGAUGGGAGACGAGUUUAUGGAGGCGAUACUGUAUGUCAAUGGCGUUCGCAAAGUGUUACCUGAUGGCCUGGCUCAUAUGACACUUCUUGAAUACCUCAGAGGUUUAGGACUGACCGGGACAAAGCUGGGGUGCGGUGAAGGUGGUUGUGGGGCUUGCACGGUGAUGGUCUCUAAUUAUGACAGAACAUCAAACAAAUGCGUGCACUAUGCUGUUAACGCUUGUUUAGCACCUCUCUAUUCCGUAGAAGGAAUGCAUGUAAUAUCCAUUGAGGGAGUUGGUCAUCGCAAACAUGGCUUGCACCCACUCCAGCAUAGGCAAUGCUUGUUCUCAUACCCAUCUUCAUCAAUAUUGGUGUCAAGUAUAGGCAAUGCUUGUUCUCAGAACCAGACCCUAGCUCAAAGUUCAAAUUCUGUUUCCAGUCACGAAAUCUGCUAUAGUCUAUCAGAAAAUGUAACCGUUAAUAAAUCAUGCAUCAGAUAACAAAUUGUGUAUAGGCUAACAAAUUAUUGUUAACAUGCUAGAUUUGUAAUAUUUGUUUCAUACAUACUUCUAAUUUAGUGUUAGAUAAAUAUUUAUAUGUUGUAGUAUUUUACACUAAUAAUAUCUUUGUUUAAACCUACUUCCACAGAGAAACAUUAUUGAUUACGUACUUGAUAACAUGAUCAUUAUUCAUUAACUUUUUAUUUUGCUGUUACAUUAUUUGUUAUUGGUCAGAUCAUUCAUGCCAGUUAGGAUUGUUAUAAAAUUCAAUUUAAUUGUGGAUAUAUAUUUACAUAUUUUUAAUGCUUAAAAAAUGAUAUUGAUUUUUUUAAAACUAAAAGAUAUUGAUUAUUUUAAAAAAAUAUAAGAUAUUGAUUCACAAAAACUAGAGAAAAUGAGUUGUCCUCAACUCUGGUAAAACCAUAAAAGCAGAAAUAUGCUUCACAAAAGUGACCUAUCAAAUCUGGGAUGAAUCAGAACUUGUACUUGUAUGUAUUUUUGUGUCAGGCGUUAGGGGCAUUUUUCGUCUCAUCUUAACACAAAAGAUAUGCCUUUAACCUCUUAUGUCACUCAAUGGUCAUUUCUCUAAUUUGAGUUCCUCUUAGGUAUAUUGAACUAAUUAUCCCAAAAAUAAAAGAAAAAAGGAUAAACAACUAAAAGGAAUAGAAAAUAAUUGCUUCUUCAAAAUUGCGAUAUCACUACACCCAUAUGGAUAAUGGCUUAUUCGACAUAAAAAUAUAAUUUAAUGGUUAUGUACAAGUUAAAAGAAACACGAGAAGAAGACAAACAUAUAACAAGAACAUAACCAAUUAACAUGAUUAUGUACUAUGACUCAGCUAUACAAAUAAUGUCUUCUUCGAUUUAAAAAAAAAAUUAGCGGUUUUCCAAACUUUUUACUUAAAGAAACAAAACCCACCGAUAUCGAAAGUUCGAACUCAUGUCUACGUUAAUCGGUCCAAUCAAGAAAACACCUAAAGCCUCGAUCAGCAAGUCAUACCUCUGGCCAUUUCCUGAGGUUUAUACUUUAACCAUCACCAUGAGAGCGAGACAAGCUGACAAGGACUUCGCGGAAUGGAUUUUAAAAGUUGGUCAUGGAACUGCACCCACCGUGAACACAGAAGGAAGAAGUCAUGAGGACGGCGAGCAGGUUAUAAUAGGAGAUAAAUUCAUGUUACCAAGCUCUGAUCAUCCUCACAACUCUAUAUCAGAUGCUGCAUACCCAGUUACUGCCUUCCAACUCAGUCAAAAAUGUUCUGCUUCAAGUAGCAAAUAAUUAAUGGAAUCAUAGGUAAACACGGUUAUGAGUAUGUUCGUGGAACAUGCUACCCCUGAAUAAUUAAUUAAUAAACACCAAAAGAAAUAUACCGUCUAAGAUCAUCACAAUUCUACUUACGUAAGAUGCCAUCCAUAAUAUAGUUUGGUUUCUGUCUUAUUAUGUUAAAACACAGUCAUUUAAUUAACAAUAGAAAAUAUCUACGGGUUAUGUCUUAUUAUGUUAAAACACAGUCGUUUCCAUUGAAUGAGUGCCCAGCCGAGUUAAAAUAUCUAAAUUAUGAUUGUCACAGGAUUCAUCGAGUUCAUGACUUGUAAAGCACGCAAGCGAACGUUGCUGUAGUAUGUAAGCCUUUUCGUUUACUAGAGCAUUAAAACGUAGCUGCAAUGAGAGUUAAAAGAAAACAUGAAAAUUUAAAAGAAAAGAACAAAAACAAAAAAAAAGGUAUGAAUACAAGAAUACAAAUAAUGGAUUUUACAACCCCAAUAAAUUAUUUAAUGGCUUUAUUUCCUUUAUAAUAUGUAAAACAACCCAAUAUCAUAGACUACAACACCCUAUAUACGAAAAAAAUUACACACCACAAUUAUUCCUUACUCAAUAGAAUAACUAUAAGAACAAUGGAUUAAUAAAUCAAACCAAAACCUGAAUACUUAAGCACCGGUCUUAGCCAUCUUCUGCAUCUAAAAUUAAAAAAAAAUACCAAAACCGUCGUCCAAAAGGAUUAAAAGUAAGCAUUAAACUACAACACCCACUAUGUUUUAAUUGCUUAUUCGCUUUACCAGCAAUUAAAAUUAAACAAUCGGUUACAGACUUACACUCAUGGAAUUCAAAAGGCACCCUAAAGAUAUAGUUUCACUAUAAAGCUAUCGACAUCUCCACCUAAAAAACAAAAAAUCUCUCGAACAUAAAGCAAAAUGUCUACUGAAAACAGUUUAUCUCUAAUAGAAUCUCUACCCCAGGAACUCCUUGCUGAAAUUCUAGCCCGCGUUGCUUCAUCUUCUGUUGAAGAUAUAAGCCACUGCUUAACAGUCUCACGGACGAUUUCUUCCGCCGUGCAAGAUGAUCACGUCAUCAAACGUCUCAACCUACGUCCACGGGCGAUGAAUCCCAUGCUAACGUUUUAUCGUUAUCAGCAUCUUAUGGUGAAGGCUAUCAACAGCAACAAUCCGGCUGCUCACUAUACUGAAGGUAUCAAGCAGUUCUUCGCCUACGACAACAGGACCGUUGUGUUACUUCACCUAAAAAAACCAGCUGAAGGUUCCUAUGACAAUGGUACCUAUCUCUAUGGCAUCGUUGUUUCAUGCAUGAGAAACAUUGAAGAAGGAAAAACUAUCUUACGUACCCUUGGGUGGGAGGCAAGCAGACGUCGCACUAAUCGUGCUUGGAGAGAGGUGAAGAGGUCAAUGAGGUUUGUUUAUGUCAUUUUGAAGCCUGAGUACACAGCCACUUUGAAGAGCAAUCAGCCACCGCUCACCUGCCACAAGAACGACAAGGACAACAUCUGUCCAAGCUGUUUCCACUACAAAAUGAUGCGGAGAUUCGUCAGAUUCGUCAGGCAAAAUAUCUAAGAAAGACUAAAUCAGUAUCAAGUGUGUAAAGCAGCUACGGGAGAACCACUCUCAACGUUGCGCACAUGCCAAACUAUCCUUAUUUCGAUUUAGACAUUUGCAUUUCUUUUUGAGCUUUUGAUUACAUUUCGAAGUAUGUUAAGCUUUUUUUUAAAAAAAAACACUUUCUCAUUUUAUGAUAUUCAGAACUAAUAUUUAAAGCCACACCAACAAAAAAUAUCCCAUAAAGAAAAGAAAUUAAAAAAAAAAAGGAACUCCACCGUUAAACCAGCUUAACCCAGCACAAUAACUAAAUCGAUUCCGUGAAAUCAAUACAAUACUAAAAGGGGAAUAAGGGCUCCCCUCAUGCCUCCACAUCCUCAAAAAUAAUCAGCCAAUAGGAGAGCCCCGUUAAGCCACGUCGGACGCGCAUCGCGUCUCAUUUGGGCCUCGCGUCAAAUUGGCCUGUUAGUGUUCGAACCUACCUCUCUCCUUCGGCUCCGACUCUUCUUCUCCAUCACGAUCGUUUCAAGAUCAUUCUUUUUUUACCUGUUUCUAAAUCUAGAUCUAAAACGCAAACAGUUAACUCUUCCACAUCCUCUCUCUCUCUUAGUAACCGGUUGUCCCUUUUGAUUGAAGGAGUUAUACAUCGGAGAAGAAGAUGGUCUCCACCAAAGAGAUAGAAAAUUAGUGACUUCGAGCUAUUGGGUGGUGUCUCUACCAGUGAAGGACUCUGCUUGGAAGCAUUCCUUUGAUACUCAUGUUUAUCGGGAACUCAAUAGUUUCAUCGAUUCCAUUGAAAAUUAGCAAAGAUCUCCCGAUUGCGUUCUGACGAUCUGAUAUCUUCCACUUCACAGCUUAAAUUCCUAAUCUUUGGGUUGGAACAUUAAAUCUCUCUCGAAGAUGGUCUGCUCAAAGAACAAGGAGAAUUACAAAAAAAAUUGCUCCACAGGGUGAACCGCAAUAACAGAAUAUGAGAAUCUUCUGAGAUGGUGCUAUUCUCCAUCUCAAUUAACCAAAGAGAGUGCGUUAAAUAUUUGCCUGGCUGGUAUUGAAGACACGACGGAGCCUUUGGAGACGUAACUAAACUUUUGAAAUAUCAAACAUGUUGCUAGAGGAAGCACUGACACUGGCUCGUGCCUUCAGCCACUUUCUUAACAUGAUAGGCGUUGCCAAAACCCAUCAUAGGCUAGCUAACUACACUAGACAUCCGUGUCACAAAAAUAAAAAGAUUUAGUCGAUUUAUGUUUUCAUACACUUGGAAGAUUGCUUUAUCAUUUAGAAUUUUGUUUUCCUAUUUUCAGAGUUAGUAGAGACUGCAACCUUCCACACCUCAUGAGGUCAUGCAACGAUGUAUUCACUAAGCCGAGGCAAGGUGGUAUUUCCCCAUAUGAGCUUCACUACUUAGUUUGCAAACAGGUUAUGAUUCAUUGUCCUACUCACUUUUACAGUUUCAUCAUUGCCAGCUCUUCUCAGAUGCCUUUAAUUCUUGGUAGGCUCCUAAGUCCUAAUUAAAUACGUUUUUCAUGAGCCAUCUUCAGUGUAGAUGAUGAAGAAAGAUCAGAGCAGCAUCUCAUAAAUGCAGCAGACAAAGAGGUUGUUUAUCUAAAAAUAAACCAAUGGGACUUACUAGAGAAGAUACCUAAGAAGCCAACCAGCGAUUACUUCCUUCUGAAAAAUCAUAAACAAAGGGAGUAAAGUAGCAUUCGCUCCUAAUUAUUGUGAUUGAACUACCCGUAAAAUUGGUUCAGUAUUCUUCUCACUCUACGAAUGUAAAAGAAAACAUAUAUAUAUAUAUCUAGGAAGCGAUGUUCUCUUCGAAGGAAUGAGACAUUUUAAUCUAUGAGCAAAAGCCACUAGCAAGUUCUUUGUUUCCUGAUCUGAAACAUUUUAUAUCCUAUGUAAAUUAUGUCUCUUGAUGA